rnacentral:lncRNA from 10 species
GCUAAGAAAAUUGGAGAAACAACUUGGAAAGAGUCCCUGACACUUUGUGAAGCCUCCUUAUGAACCAUGGACUGUCUACCUCCAGUGUGGUUUCAUUUGAGAGGUCGAUAAAUGCCUGUAUUGUUUAGGCCACUGUCAUUUUGGACCUUCUGUCACUUGCAGCCAAAUCUAAUCCUAACUUACAUGCUUUCCAAUACUCACCCUCUUACAUUUUCAGCUCUACUUACCAGCCGAGGCUACCACCACACAGAGUGUACUGCAGUUUCAGGCUUGGAGAGGAAGGGAGGAAGCCUAACCCUCGGGAGACCCCGUCAUGUUUUGAUGUCAUUGCAUGUCCCAUUUGGCCAGCCCGGAAAAAAUAAAAUGAGGAAGAAUGGCCCACAAACAACCUGGA